AUGAUCGACCAAGCCAAGAAGUCUGCCCCGGCCUGGCAGAGAGGGUUGUUGCAUCGUCCUGGACGCUUGGUGCUGGUUAAGUCUGUAAUCUCUGCUAAGCCUAUCCACCACUUCAUGGUUACGGACGCCCCUGCUUGGGUGUUUGAGGAGUUAGAUAAAUGGAUGCGCUCCUUCUUCUGCGCCGACAAAGAUAAAGUUCACGGAGGUCAGUGUUUGGUGGCUUGGAACUCGGUGUGCAAGCCCACGUGGCUCGGAGGUUUGUGCGUGCGCAACAUGCAAUUACAAGGCUUGGCUUUGAGAGUGAGAUGGGAGUGGCCGAGAAGGACGGACCUUGAGAGGCCGUGGCAAGGGCUUCCAAUGGCCGUGGACAAAGAGGCUCGAGCGGUCUUUGAUAGCCUGGUGCACACUGAGGUUGGUGUGGGCAACAGAGUGCUGUUCUGGAGAGAUAGAUGGAUACACGGCUUUGCGGUCAAAGACAUUGCACCGUACAUAUAUGCCUUGGUUGACACGAGAACGAUCAACCGUCGCACGGUUGAGGAAGGCUUGCAAAAUGAUAGAUGGUUGCAUGACAUUUCCGGUGUAGUUAACUUUGGUGGCCACUUGCAACUUCUUCACCUAAACCUUGCGAUCAGCAUGGUGAACCGGGACCCCCAUGCAGAAGAUUCUCUCUCUUGGCCGGUUGAUCCUUCUGGUGGUUACACGGCUAAAUCCACAUACCUCAGGCUCUGUUUCGGUGCUGAGAGGGUCCCUUACGCCUCAUGCAUAUGGAAGAGCUGGGCCCUCCUCAAGUGCAAAUUUUUUUGCUUGGUUGGCAGUUCAACACCGGAUAUGGACUUCUGA
rnacentral:rRNA from 1 species